AAAACAUCGCUCUUUGUCUGUUUAUAAGGAGUUGGACCUGCCCGGUGAUUGACCAAAUUUUGAAGUUAUUUGUAACAAGAAAUUUUUUUAAACGGCUGCAAUUAAUAAUUGUGCUAAGGUAGCGUAAUCAUUUGCCCCCUAAUUAGGGGAAGGUAUGAAUGGUUUGACGUGGGAAAAACUGUCUCUUUUGCAUAUGAAGAAGUUUAUUUUUGAGUGAAAAAGCUUAGAUGGUUUUAAAAGACGAGAAGACCCUAUCGAACUUGAAUUAGGUAUUUAAAUUUUUUUAAGUGUUAAAAGUUUAGUUGGGGAAACUUAAAGUAAAAAAAAACGCUUUAUUUUUUUGUAAUGAUCCUGUAGUAUGGAAAAACGAAAAAGUUACCGUAGGGAUAACAGCGCUUUCUUCUCUGAGAGGACUAAUUAAAGAGUUGGUUGCGACCUCGAUGUUGGAUUAAAAUUUCUUUUUGGGGUAGGGGUUAAAAUAGUAAGACUGUUCGUCUUUUAAAAUUUUACGUGAUC
rnacentral:rRNA from 1 species